GACGAACGCUGGCGGCGUGCUUAACACAUGCAAGUCGAACGGAAAGGCCCUGCUUUUGUGGGGUGCUCGAGUGGCGAACGGGUGAGUAACACGUGAGUAACCUGCCCUUGACUUUGGGAUAACUUCAGGAAACUGGGGCUAAUACCGGAUAGGAGCUCCUGCUGCAUGGUGGGGGUUGGAAAGUUUCGGCGGUUGGGGAUGGACUCGCGGCUUAUCAGCUUGUUGGUGGGGUAGUGGCUUACCAAGGCUUUGACGGGUAGCCGGCCUGAGAGGGUGACCGGGCACAUUGGGCCUGAGAUACGCAGCAGACUCCAACGGGAGGCAGCAGGGGGGAAUAUUGCACAAUGGGCGGACGCCUGAUGCAGAAACGCCGCGAGCGGGAUGACGGCCAUCGGGUUGUAAACCGCUUUAGGCUGUGACGAAGCGUGAGUGACGGUAAUGGGUAAAGAAGCACCGGCUAACUACGUG
rnacentral:rRNA from 1 species